rnacentral:rRNA from 1 species
UACGGGGGGGGCAAGCGUUGUUCGGAAUUACUGGGCGUAAAGGGCGCGUAGGCGGUUCGCUGAGUUGGAUGUGAAAACUCUGGGCUUAACCCAGAGCCUGCAUCCAAAACUGGCGAACUUGAGUACUGGAGGGGAAAGCGGAAUUCCUGGUGUAGCGGUGAAAUGCGUAGAUAUCAGGAGGAACACCGGUGGCGAAGGCGGCUUUCUGGACAGUAACUGACGCUGAGGCGCGAAAGCUAGGGGAGCAAACAGG